GCCAGUGUGGUGUAGUGGUUUGAGUGUUUGACUAUGACUCUGGAGAUCAGGGUUCGAUUGCCCACUCAAGCA